rnacentral:rRNA from 1 species
UACAGAGGGGGCAAGCGUUGUUCGGAAUUACUGGGCGUAAAGGGCGCGUAGGCGGCCUUCUAAGUCGAACGUGAAAUCCCUGGGCUCAACCCAGGAACUGCGUCCGAUACUGGGAGGCUUGAAUCCGGGAGAGGGAUGCGGAAUUCCAGGUGUAGCGGUGAAAUGCGUAGAUAUCUGGAGGAACACCGGUGGCGAAGGCGGCAUCCUGGACCGGUAUUGACGCUGAGGCGCGAAAGCUAGGGGAGCAAACGGG